GAUCAUGGCUCAGAUUGAACGCUGGCGGCAGGCCUAAUACAUGCAAGUCGAACGGUAACAUAGGAAAAGCUUGCUUUUCUGAUGACGAGUGGCGGACGGGUGAGUAAUAUUGGGAAGCUACCUGAUAGAGGGGGACAACAGUUGGAAACGACUGCUAAUACCGCAUACAGCCUGAGGGUGAAAGCAGCGAUGCGCUAUCAGAUGCGCCCAAAUGGGAUUAGCUAGUAGGUGAGGUAAGGCUCACCUAGGCGACGAUCUCUAGCUGGUCUGAGAGGAUGAUCAGCCACAUUGGGACUGAGACACGGCCCAGACUCCUACGGGAGGCAGCAGUAGGGAAUAUUGCACAAUGGAGGAAACUCUGAUGCAGCCAUGCCGCGUGUGUGAAGAAGGCCUUCGGGUUGUAAAGCACUUUCGGAGGGGAGGAGAAUGACGUUACCCUCAGAAGAAGCACCGGCUAACUCCGUGCCAGCCGCCGC
rnacentral:rRNA from 1 species